GGUUUCCGUAGGUGACCUGCGGAAGGAUCAUUA
rnacentral:rRNA from 7 species